ACAUAUCAGAUGUAUCAUCAUGUCAGUUUAGGUGUUAAAACCUGGUAAACGCUGAUUCUCGGGUACUCCGUACUCGGAAUGUGAGUACUCAGUGAAUGAAAUCGAGUUUUCGUGCAUGGGUGGAGCAAGACGAGGAAUCUAGACCGUGGGUUCAGGUUUUGCCGUUGCAUGACGGGUUCUACGCGAGUACUCGUCAAAGUGCAAAAUGAUAUUUAUACCCUAAUGUUUUAGGGUAAUUACAAGGGAUUGGGGUGACUGCGAGUACCUAAAUCUCGUGAAAUCGAGAUCGAGAUAGUUCGAUCAUGAAACUUGUGAGGGCGAGGUAUACCCAAAAACUCAGUUUCGAGAAUAAUAACCAUAACUGACUAGCAACGCUUACUCGGGAUCUAAGUAGCCGAUAGUUCCCGCAACAACGGUCGCUACUUGGGUGC